AUGAAAUAUACAAGUGGGCGAUGUGCUGGCUUUACUGCAUGUGCACUCUACCACUUUAUCCAAUACACCUGUGCACUAUAGACCUCGGGAUAUGCCCGCCAAUGUGUUGUAAUGACGCCUAGGCAGCGGAGUCAGGCUGAAGUCAGGCUCUGGGUACUUGAGGUAUUUUACACACUCGAAUGAUUAGAACAAACUGUUGCAUAUUGCAUACAUAUA
rnacentral:misc_RNA from 1 species